ensembl:snRNA U2 U2 spliceosomal RNA
AUCGCUUCUCAGCCUUUUGGCUAAGAUCAAGUGUAGUUUCUCACACCAGAGAAACUAUUCAGUAUUUAUACAUAUGUGUCCAUUUCACUUAAAAGUAUCGCCUCAAUGUGCAUCCAUUUAGCUAUAAAUGUCUCCAAUUGCUCAUUUUUUAUGGCUGACUGGUA